rnacentral:rRNA from 1 species
CCCUUAGAUGUCCGGGGCUGCACGCGCGCUACACUGACUGGCUCAGCGUGUGCCUACCCUACGCCGGCAGGCGCGGGUAACCCGUUGAACCCCAUUCGUGAUGGGGAUCGGGGAUUGCAAUUAUUCCCCAUGAACGAGGAAUUCCCAGUAAGUGCGGGUCAUAAGCUUGCGUUGAUUAAGUCCCUGCCCUUUGUACACACCGCCCGUCGCUACUACCGAUUGGAUGGUUUAGUGAGGCCCUCGGAUCGGCCCCGCCGGGGUCGGCCCACGGCCCUGGCGGAGCGCUGAGAAGACGGUCGAACUUGACUAUCUAGAGGAAGUAAAAGUCGCAACA